rnacentral:rRNA from 1 species
UAGCUUUAAGAUUUAUAUUUAAAGUUUUACCUGCCCGGUGGGACUCUUAACGGCCGCAGUACUUUGACUGUGCUAAGGUAGCAUAAUAAAUUGGCUUUUAAUUAAAGUCGGGUAUGAAAGGGGUUUCGGAAGAGAGCUGUCUUAAGAUAUUUUAUUUUAAUUUAAUUAAUGAGUGAAAAUUCUCAUACUCCUAACAUUAGACGAGAAGACCCUAAGAGUUAUAAUUAAGAUGAAUACAUUUCAUAUAUCAUUUUUGUUGGGGCAACAAAGACUGGAUAGAACCGUCAUAUAGAAACUUUACAUAACAGUACUAUUUAAAAAGAAAUAAACUACCUUAGGGAUAACAGCAUAAUUAAUUUUUAGAUUGUGACCUCGAUGUUGGAUUAAGGACUUAAUUAACUAGCCGUAAAUUAAGAUAGUUCUGUUCGAACUGUAGUACCUU